UACCUUUGUCACUUUGUUGCGCUCCCGUUGAAUCGCUGUCGUCUCCCCGGGACUCGGACGCUGGAAGAAGAAGUUGCUCGCCCCGCUCUGUCGCACGUUAGCGGGGGAAAAAAACAAGCACCGAGAGAGGGAAGCUUCACUCUCACCUGCCGCCGGAGGACGAGCCGCGUGACUGGGGUGUUAAACCGGAGCAAGCGGGGCUGAAAGGCGGAAGGGAUAAGAAGCUCCAUCCCCCUGUGGAAGCGCACGGAGCCAACGUGCAGCACCGGACCGUGUGUGGAGCUAACGAGGGAAAUGACAUAAACACACACCCGGAGAUGGUUUACUACCCGAGGGGACCUUCACAGACACUCCCGCUGCUACCACUGUGAACUUCUCUGUCCUUAAACUACAGACCCAGAGAGGGAGAGCGGAUCAGAGAAAGUAGUGCGUCUCCUUCUUCUCCUUGUUAUCAGCAGCUAAGGGAUUAAUGAUGCCGGACCAAAUCACAGUUUCAGAGUUUGUGGCGGAGACGAAUGAAGACUACAAGUCGCCCACUGCCUCCAACUUCACCACCAGGAUGUCCCACUGCAGGAACACAGUGGCUGCCCUGGAGGAGGCUCUGGAUGUGGACCGCAGUGUUCUGUACAAGAUGAAGAAGUCUGUGAAAGCCAUCUACACGUCUGGUCUGGCCCAUGUGGAGAAUGAGGAGCAAUACACUCAGGCCCUGGAGAAGUUUGGAGAAAACUGUGUCUACAGAGACGAUCCUGAUCUCGGUUCAGCCUUCCUCAAGUUCUCUGUCUUCACCAAGGAGCUCACUGCGCUUUUCAAAAACCUGUUCCAAAACAUGAACAACAUCAUCACCUUUCCUCUGGACAGCCUGCUGAAAGGAGAUCUGAAGGGAGUCAAAGGGGAUCUAAAAAAGCCUUUUGACAAAGCCUGGAAGGACUACGAAACUAAAGUCACCAAGAUAGAGAAGGAGAAGAAGGAGCACGCGAGGCAGCACGGGAUGAUCCGGACAGAAAUCAGCGGGGCGGAGAUCGCUGAGGAGAUGGAGAAGGAGAGGAGAUUCUUUCAGUUGCAGAUGUGUGAGUAUCUCCUCAAAGUCAAUGAGAUCAAAAUCAAGAAGGGGGUGGACCUGCUGCAGAACCUCAUCAAGUACUUCCACGCGCAGUGCAAUUUCUUCCAGGAUGGUCUUAAAGCUGUGGACAACCUGAAGCCUUCCAUUGAGAAACUGGCCACAGAUCUGCACACAAUAAAGCAGGUGCAGGAUGAGGAGAGGAAGCAGCUCACUCAGUUGCGAGACGUCCUCAAGUCGGCGCUACAGGUGGAGCAGAAAGAGUCUAGGAGAGAUUCACAGGUGCGGCAGAGCACCACCUACAGCCUGCACCAGCCACAGGGUAACAAGGAGCACGGCACCGAGCGCAGUGGGUACCUAUACAAGAAAAGUGACGGGUUGAGGAAAGUCUGGCAGAAGAGAAAGUGCACGGCGAAGAACGGAUACCUCACCAUCUCACACGGCACGGCUAAUCGGCCGCCGGCUAAACUCAACCUGCUCACCUGCCAGGUGAAACACAAUCCUGACGAGAAGAGGAGCUUUGACCUCAUAUCACACGACAGAACGUAUCACUUUCAGGCUGAGGACGACCAGGACUGUCAGAUCUGGAUCUCGGUGCUGCAGAACAGUAAGGAGGAGGCGCUGAAUCAGGCCUUUAAAGGGGACCAGCAUGUCGGCGAGAACAACAUUGUGCAGGAGCUGACCAAGGCGAUCCUCGGAGAAGUGAAGAGGAUGACGGGAAAUGACCUUUGCUGCGACUGUGGAGCCCCCAACCCAACGUGGCUGUCCACCAACCUGGGUAUUCUCACCUGUAUUGAAUGUUCGGGGAUCCACAGGGAGCUGGGCGUCCACUACUCCAGGAUCCAGUCGCUCACUCUGGAUGUACUCAGCACCUCGGAGCUCUUGCUGGCCAAGAAUGUGGGGAACGCAGGCUUUAAUGAAAUCAUGGAGGCUUGUUUAAGUGCUGAAAAUGUGGUGAAACCCAACCCAGCCAGUGACAUGCAGGCGAGGAAAGACUUCAUCACAGCCAAAUACACAGAGAAACGUUUCGCCAGGAAGAAGUGUCCUGAAGCGACGUCGCGGCUCCACACGCUGUGCGACGCCGUGAAGGCCCGAGACAUUUUCUCCCUCAUCCAGGUGUACGCCGAGGGAGUCGACCUCAUGGAGCCCAUACCUCUGGCCAACGGACACGAACAAGGGGAGACGGCCCUUCAUCUCGCAGUGAGACUGGUGGAUCGAACAUCUCUUCACAUUGUAGACUUCCUCACUCAGAACAGUUUGAAUCUGGAUAAGCAGACAGCCAAAGGCAGCACGGCGCUACACUACUGCUGUCUGACCGACAACAGCGAGUGUCUGAAACUGCUGCUGCGGGGGAAGGCCUCCAUAGAGAGCGCUAAUGAAGCCGGGGAGACGCCGCUGGAUAUCGCUCGCAGGCUCAAACACCUACAGUGUGAGGAACUGUUGAACCAAGCACUGGCAGGGAAAUUCAACGUCCAUGUCCACGUUGAGUAUGAGUGGUGUCUGCAGCACGAAGACUUGGAUGAGAGUGAUGAAGAUCUGGAUGAGAAGCCCAGUCCUCAUCGCAGAGACGAGCGACCGGUCAGCUGUUACACCCCGAGCAGUAACUCCACCCUGGGCCCCGGAGGCCGCGACGCCCUCUCCAAGGACAAACAGCGCGGCUACAUGCCCAGCCUGGUGAACAACGAAACCUACGGCACCAUCCUCAACAACAACCAGAGUCAGAACGCCACCACCUCCGCUCCUCCCUUGCCCCCGAGAAACCUGGUCCAGUUAUCCGGUCUGGGUGGGAUCAUUCAGUCGUCAGCGUCCGGCAGCUGGAAGCCCGGUCCUUUAGACCUGGUGGGGCGACAAAGGUCGUCCUCAGACCCCCCCAACAUGCACCCUCCUGUCCCGCCUCUGAGACUCACCUCGACUGGAGUUCUGGGUCCUCCUCCUUUGAACUUACAGUCCAAAUCAGGCCAGGGGCCCCCGGGGUCCAGAGCGGCACCACCCAAAUCUCCUGCUGGCAACGAUAAAAGCUUCAACAGAGGACCUCUAAAUCGAACCCAGUCCAUCGAGAGACCAGCUAAGGAAGUGCCAGGAUGCCCCCAGAACUCCAUAGGUCAGUCCCUGCCGCCAGCCCCCAUGCCGAGGAAGGCCUACCCAAAGCAGAGGCCGAAGCGAGUGAAGGCCAUCUACAACUGUGCGGCCGACAACCCGGACGAGCUGACGUUCUCCGAGGGCGAGGUGAUCGUGGUGGAUGGAGAGGAGGACCAGGAGUGGUGGGUGUAGAAGACGUUUAAAAAGCCUUAAUGGACAUAAAUAAGUACUCUCUUCCCUUAAGCUGGGCCACAUCGAAGGUGAUCCAAUGAGAAGAGGAGCCUUCCCGGUCACGUUUGUGCACUUCAUCGCUGACUGAAAGAUCACACUGGGUCUCAGGAAGUGUCCCAGGACGCAGCGUCCCACCUCCACCCGCUGCCUGUGUCUGUCGACACCCACCAACCCACCAACCCACCAUCAUCCCAGUGUUUGUUUGUCGACAUCAUCGGCAUCAUCAUCAUCAGCAUCAUCGGCGUGCUUGAGGAAGCGUUGCUGAUCCAUUACCUUAGCUGCAAAUUUGUGUGGCCGUCAUUUCAGCGGUAGCACACACACACGGGCCAGCAAGUGUCAGUGUCGUGGAUUUUAAUGCUUGCUGUUAAUGUUUCUGAGACAGACUCUUAAAAUUCAAAAAAACUCUUUAUGAUUGUAGUGAACGGCCUCUCGCAAUAAAUGCACUUUCUUGUCUUUAUCCCUGCUACAACAUAAGACGACGUGACAUGAUGAAGGUUGUGUACAGAGUUCUUUUCUCCCGUUUUUCUGCAAAUGUACCAGUGAAGACUCCAGCAAUGUAUCUUAACUUUAACUAACGACUGUAAGAGUGAACGUAGACGACAUGCUUACAUUCCACCUCCGUGCAUGUGUGAUUUUAUAAAAGCCCACCUGCUUCUAGGUGUAGUAGCCCUCCUGUGUGGAGGUUUCUCUAAUGGUGCUAAGUUAAACCCCAGAAUAUGCUCGAAGCUGCACCCAGGGGGCGCUAUCCUCCCUGUCCCUGUUUUCAUAGAGAGACAUUAAAGUGCUGCAUGUAAAGGAAAGCCUUCACCUCAGCUGCUCUGGGAGAAGAUGCUUUCUCCCCCCCACGUGUGUGUAGAGUGAGAGAGCUGCACAUGAAUUCUACGUCACACGUCUUCCUCCCUUUUUUCUGCCUGAGCUAUUUUAGGAAAAUAUCCAACAGCAACACUUCUUCCUCCCGAGCUUCUUUGGGUCAAAUGAUGACAGUGACUGGAGCCGCAGCAGCAGCCAGUAAUUACCUUCAUGUCCAGUCUGACACCUCAGGCUGUCUUCACCUGACAUCUGCCUUAUUAGAGAAAGAGGGAGUGUGUGUGUCGGCUGCACAGAAUAAACUGAAGAUGACAGUAUUCAAGAAUAUUGAAGAAAGAGGAAAUUAAAGAAGAAAAAUUGAGGGAAUGUGAUGAAAAGCAGAAGUUGGCUGUGACUUCUGUUGCUUCCUCUUGUCUUUUAGCGCACUAACGCUCCAACGUGCUGAUUUUUUUAUUUUUAUUUUGACGCUCUCUACAACCACACACAGAGAAGAAUGUCCUUCCCACAGUUUAAGCUUCUCAUACUUGUACAUAACCGGGGUUCUAUAAUGUAGAAAGAUUAGUUGAUCUAUAGUGUUAUUAAAUAAAUAUAAAACACACAAUGUAAUUAACUUUGGUUGCAGAGCAACUUUCUUUCUGUUCAUAAUGUUGAUAUCGAGCCUUCCAUGGAUUUGUGAAUGACAAGAAGAGAAGCGUGUGAAUCACUGAGCUGAUUCACUCGCUCUCUUCAUCGUGUUUAAUAUGAACUCACUGGAAACAGGAAGAUUUAAUAACCUAUUCAUGUAAAUAUGUUUGGUUUGGUUUUGUUGAUAUUUAAAUGUAAAGAGCAGAGUUAGCGUGGGCAGUGAAUGUCUUUUUAAUGCACUGUGGUGAUGAGCAGUUACAGAUGUGACCUCAGCUGGACCUGUGUGUGUGCGCGCACUCAGAACACAAACACUCACUGCUGGGAAAAUACCCUCAUCAGUUCAUUCUCAUUAACUGUCUGUGGAUCACUGCGUCGACUCUUAACUCUGUUGUGGAAGAAAAUGGGAAAAUGAAACUGGAAUAAUAAAAUAUGAAAUAAUACGAUGA